ACAUUAAAAACAAUGCAAAGUGUGCAGAGUGCUGAUUUGAAAUUUUAUUUUCGAUCUUUAAUUGUACUUCCUUUUUACACAGGAAGUAGAAAGUCAUUUGGUGGAUGGCGUUUGGACUGCAUCGUGAGUUCUCUCUCUUUAUCAGUGCUCUAUUGGAAUGAGAUCUAGUGACUGUGAAGGCAAAAGAAGUGGCACCUUCUGCUGCUGUCGCCCAUCCGCUUCAAGAAAUACCUCAUAGGAUGGAAAACGUCAUGAUCAGAGUGUCACAGGCACCAGACUUUCCUGUUGCACCUCCGUAUGAUGAAGGUCCUCUUCCGUACUCGAUGGUCCAACCUCGAGGUCAAGACAGUGCAAACGAGUCAGCGCCAGUUUUUGUUUUCAAAACCACAUGCUGCCCUAAAAAGUGGACCCAAAGUCACUUUCUGGUCAUGGGAUUUAUCUUUGUCUGUCUCUUACUCCUGCUGUUGUUAGGGUUCAUUCUUUACUCAGUUUACGUUAAGAGGUAAUUUUGUUCAAAAUGAAAACUGUUAAAAAAGAUCACCAUAUCAUGGUGCAAAAAAGCCUGACAUUGCCCUACGAACCCCAAAAGAGAGUUUGUAUAAAAUGUUAAUUUGUAUAAUAAUAAAAACUGUGAAAAAUGUUCAUUGUAUGGCCAUACAGAGAUGGUGGGUCAUAUGGGAUGUUAGGUGUUAAUGCAUGAAAAAAGUUCACCCUAUCUGCUGUUUUUCAGUCUGCUGUUGUGAGUGUUGUUGAGUUUACUAAAUUUAUAUAUACAUGUAUUAAUCUUGCUCGUCUGGCCUUGUCGUGUCUACUCAGAGCCGUUUUUUUCCCUUUACCAUCUUUAUUUUUACACCAUUAAGUCAUCUUCUUGCCCUGGGUCAGUUGGGGACUUUCCAAAGGCCACAUUUUUGAUUUAUCUUGCACCUGCUUGUCUAUUCCUUGGGUCUUCCAAGGGUUUCCACUUAUAUAUUUAUUUUUUAAUGACUUCUUAAGCACAGUUUGCACCAAUAUUUUUCUCUCCCUGGCCUGGCCUGCUUUCAGUUUUAGUCUAAAUUACUGCUGGCCUCAGACACCAUUAUUUCCAGGUCUCUUUUUAUAAUAUUUUUUAAAAUAAUUGUUUUAUGCAAGAUUACAAUAAGAUGUUCUUUUUCUGGCUUACAGUGAUUACAAUGAGGUUACAUAGACAGUGUUUUACUACCAUAGACAGUGUUUCACUAUCAUAAACAGUUCACAACUACAUAGUUUUUACCUUCCAUAGCUUACAGGCCCUUAAACAGUUGUACCCUUUUAAUACAGCUGUAUCUUGCUACAUUCCAGGAGAGGAAUGUAGGAAUGUAAUCCAGGAGAUCCUUGUGUCGUUAACACCCAUCACCCGCAGCUUCUCACCCGGUAGCAGAGGUUGAAUGGUGUUGAAAGCACUGGAGAAAUCAAACAAUGUGAUCCUAACAGGGCCUCCCCCACCAUCCAGAUGCAAAUGCCUCUUUACCUGGCCUUUGUCGCUGUUGGGCUGAUGAUGUCUUCCGUGGAGGUGGAGGAGGAGGGGCAGAUAGAGGGGUGCUGUACAGGAGAAUGCUGGGGCUUGGGUCGAGCCAUUUGGGACAGUGUGGGUGUGUGGGAGGCUGGGGGUGU